rnacentral:rRNA from 1 species
UACGAAGGGUGCAAGCGUUACUCGGAAUUACUGGGCGUAAAGCGUGCGUAGGUGGUUUGUUAAGUCUGCUGUGAAAGCCCCGGGCUCAACCUGGGAAUGGCAGUGGAUACUGGCAAGCUAGAGUGCGGUAGAGGGGUGUGGAAUUCCCGGUGUAGCGGUGAAAUGCGUAGACGAUCGGGAGGAACACCAGUGGCGAAGGCGGCACCCUGGACCAGCCACUGACACUGAGGCACGAAAGCGUGGGGAGCAAACAGG